UACGUAGGUGGCAAGCGUUGUCCGGAAUUAUUGGGCGUAAAGCGCGCGCAGGCGGUCCUUUAAGUCUGAUGUGAAAGCCCACGGCUCAACCGUGGAGGGUCAUUGGAAACUGGGGGACUUGAGUGCAGAAGAGGAAAGCGGAAUUCCACGUGUAGCGGUGAAAUGCGUAGAGAUGUGGAGGAACACCAGUGGCGAAGGCGGCUUCUGGUCUGUAACUGACGCUGAGGCGCGAAA
rnacentral:rRNA from 1 species